AGAAAGAGGAUCUCCUAGUGAAUACAGUACCUCGCUCAAGGGCAAAUGGAAGGCCUCACUCCAACCUGGCACAUGUGGUUGUACCAGAAAAACUGGAACGGAGACAAAAACAUGGAUGCAGAGGAAACAGAAGAAUGAAGAGAGAAGCAGCAGAAGAAGAAAGAAGGAAGAGAAAGACGACUUAAUAGAAGAAUAUAUACUAUGAGGAGAACAGAAAACAGAGUGAAAGGAGCUGAGAUCCAGUACUAACACAGUACAGGACGGUGGAGAAGUGCGACUGUCGUGGUGCAGAAUGGGAAAUUCUUCAUCCCCAGGCAUGUCAACUCUAUCACCGUGCAUACUGUAGUUACUGCAGCGUGUUGACAGUGGGCGAGACGGCAGGGGCAAGGAGACACACAGAGAUGCCGAGAGCACCGGGAAAGGCAUAGAGGCUGAAACCUGAAAGAGCUUAUUUAAACCAAGUACACAGCAGGUGAGAUG